rnacentral:rRNA from 1 species
CCGCGGUAAUACGGAGGGUGCAAGCGUUAUUCGGAAUUACUGGGCGUAAAGCGCACGUAGGCGGCCUUGUAAGUCAGGGGUGAAAUCCCACGGCUCAACCGUGGAACUGCCUUUGAAACUGCAGGGCUUGAAUCCUGGAGAGGGUGGCGGAAUUCCUGGUGUAGGAGUGAAAUCCGUAGAUAUCAGGAGGAACACCGGUGGCGAAGGCGGCCACCUGGACAGGUAUUGACGCUGAGGUGCGAAAGUGUGGGGAGCAAACAGGAUUAGAUACCCUGGUAGUCCACACCGUAAACGAUGGAUACUAGGUGUCGGGGACUUGAUCUUCGGUGCCGUAGCUAACGCGUUAAGUAUCCCGCCUGGGGAGUACCGUCUGCAAGGCUG